rnacentral:rRNA from 1 species
GCCCCAAAGUAAGGGAUAAGCCACCGAAAGGUGGUCUAAUACCUUAUAGUAUCCAUCUCGUAUGGAUUAAAGCUUUAUGCGCUUUGGGAGGGGCCUGCGUUUGAUUAGCUAGUUGGUGAGGUAAAGCUCACCAAGGCGACGAUCAAUAGCUGGUUUGAGAGGAUGACCAGCCACACUGGGACUGAGAUACGGCCCAGACUCCUACGGGAGGCAGCAGUAAGGAAUCUUCCACAAUGGGGCAACCCUGAUGGAGCAAUACCGCGUGCAGGAUGAAGCGUUUCGGUGUGUAAACUGCUUUUAUCACCGAAGAUUAUGACUGUAGGUGAAGAAUAAGGACCGGCUAACUACGUG